GCAGAUUCUUUUUGUUCUUUGUAGGGAUGGAGGAAUCAGAGAAUCUAGCCUUAGAUUUUAGGGCUCCAAACAUUUACCCAAUUUCUGUUAUAAUAAGUACUUUAAUAAAGAAAGUGAAUCAAAUCAGCCAUCCUUCUGAAAUGAAGAUGAAAUUCUAUAUAAUCACCUCCAAGUCAUGUCAAUUUUUUUCUCCUGGAAAUUC
rnacentral:lncRNA from 1 species